AUAAUGCAACAUACAUAGCAGAAACAUGUAAACAUUGUGAAGUGAAAGUUAACAGGAUCGGGAAUAAAACGAGAAAUUACUAUAUGUAACCGUCACUACACCGUGAAAUUGCAUUUACAGGUCUUUUGUCAGAGGAGAAAGGCUCACAGGUACAAUUGACAGCUGAAACAGAAUGUGCUCCCACAUCCGAACGCGGGAAAUUCGCACUCGGUCAAGGAGUUCCUCACUGACCAGAAAAAUUGGACAACAGUGUCGCGUGAUUGGAGAUAACAUGACACUGAGAUAUAACCAAAUCAGAGCAGAGGAAUACCAGAGAGAAGUUCCACAGGUGAACUACAACCCCAGCCUUAUCUUCGUUGGAUUGGUGACUUCUGUACAUCUAGUUUUGAUUCUUUCAAGAAGCGGUUAAUAUGGUAAUUUUCCACAAUGUAUGGAAGAUUGGAACUUUAAGUGGAGUAUUGGCAUUUCUAGUUACUACAAAAACUUUUAACGACUUUCUUUGCAAGACAGUGUGAAAGUUAAAUAUUCUAGAUAUUUGUCAUGAUAUUACGACAAAAGGUUCCUACUACUUCCUAAGACAGAUGUCAUCAUAUGAAGACACUCUCAUUUCAAGAGCGAUGUGUUGCAUUGCAUUAUAUUUGUAAGAUAUAUCGGAUUGAGAAAUUCAUGAAGAUUAGAAGCUUGACGGAGAAUAUAUGCAGAUUCUAAGUUCGAAGUCAGUUGCCAGAUGAACUAUUAGUCAGAACGACAGAACCUAGAAAGCCGCCGAAAUUGUGUUCAGAUUUAGUAUGUUAUUUUUAACAGUCGUACUUUUAAAAGAUGUGUUCAGAUUGAUAUACAAAUUGUUGAUGUUUUUGAAAUAUCGUUUAAUUUAUUGACUACAUUUGUGCCUAAAAUAAAAUUCUAUGAAACCUAAA